ACGGGAGGCAGCAGUGGGGAAUAUUGGGCAAUGGGCGCAAGCCUGACCCAGCAACGCCGCGUGAAGGAUGAAGGUCUUCGGAUUGUAAACUUCUUUAAUCGGGGAAGAGAAAAAUGACCUACCCGAAGAAUAAGCCACGGCUAACUACGUGCCAGCAGCCGCGGUAAUACGUAGGUGGCAAGCGUUAUCCGGAUUUACUGGGUGUAAAGGGCGUGUAGGCGGCUCUGUAAGUCAGAUGUGAAAUCCCCGAGCUCAACUUGUGCGCUGCUUCUGAAACUGCAGAUCUUGAGUACUGGAGGGGCAAUCGGAAUUCCUAGUGUAGCGGUGAAAUGCGCAGAUAUUGGGAGGAACACCGGUGGCGAAGGCGGCUUUCUGGACAGUAACUGACGCUGAGGCGCGAAAGCGUGGGGAGCAAACAGGAUUAGAUACCCUGGUA
rnacentral:rRNA from 1 species